ACGAAGCAGAUCAAGAGUAAUUCAAAGGGGGUACAGCUCCUUUGAAAAAGGAUACAACCUCCCCUAGCGGAUAACCACCCAAUACCUCUAGAACUGUAGGCCCUAAAGCAGCCAUCAACAAAAAGUGCGUCAAAGCUUCCCACACAAAAAUCCACAAAACAAUGUGACUCCCUUCCCACUAACAGGCUAACCUAUACCGAUAGAAGGAUCAAUGCUAAAAUGAGUAACCAGGGAACCCCCUCUUAAGCGCAACGUUACAUCACCAUAUUAUUAACAGACUAACUGAUAUACCAAAUCUAACAAGAUUGAGUAUCAAAUCUACCCUGUUAACCCAACCCAGGAGCGCCUACUAGAAAGAUUAAAAUCUGUAAAAGGAACUAGGCAAACCCAAGGCCCGACUGUUUACCAAAAACAUAGCCUUCAGCGAGCCAAGUAUUGAAGGUGAUGCCUGCCCAGUGACACCACGUUCAACGGCCGCGGUAUCCUAACCGUGCGAAGGUAGCGCAAUCAAUUGUCCCAUAAAUCGAGACUUGUAUGAAUGGCUAAACGAGGUCUUAACUGUCUCUUACAGAUAAUCAGUGAAAUUGAUCUCCCUGUGCAAAAGCAGGGAUAAGCACAUAAGACGAGAAGACCCUGUGGAACUUAAAAAUCAGCGGCCACCACAAACACACCUGCCACCUAUUAGGCUCACUACACCUACAAAUGCUGGCCCGCCUUUUUUGGUUGGGGCGACCUUGGAGAAAAACAAAUCCUCCAAAAAUAAGACCACCCCUCUUGACCAAGAGCAACCACUCAACGUACUAAUAGUAACCAGACCCAAUAUAAUUGAUAAAUGGACCAAGCUACCCCAGGGAUAACAGCGCAAUCUCCCCCAAGAGCCCAUAUCGACAGGGAGGUUUACGACCUCGAUGUUGGAUCAGGACACCCUAAUGGUGCAGCCGCUAUUAAGGGUUCGUUUGUUCAACGAUUAAUAGUCCUACGUGAUCUGAGUUCAGACCGGAGCGAUCCAGGUCGGUUUCUAUCUAUGAUUAGGCCUUCUCUAGUACGAAAGGACCGAGAAAGCAGGGCCAAUACUAUCAAGCACGCCCUACCUCUAAGUAAUGAUCUCAACUAAAUUACCUAAGAGGCUUCCUACACCCUAACAUCCUAGAAAAGGAUUGCUAGCGUGGCAGACCGGCAAAUGCAA
rnacentral:rRNA from 1 species